rnacentral:rRNA from 1 species
AGCGAACGUUAGCGGCGCGCCUAACACAUGCAAGUCGCACGAGAAACGGAGCAAUCCGCGGUACAGUGGCGCACGGGUGAGUAACACGUGGAUGACCUUCCCUGGAGUGGUGGAUAACCUGCCGAAAGGCGGGCUAAUACAGCAUGGGACCACGACGCUUUGGCGAUGUGGUGAAAGCGGGCCUCUAUAUAUAAGCUCGCGCUCCGGGACGGGUCCGCGUCCCAUCAGCUAGUUGGUGAGGUAACGGCUCACCAAGGCGACGACGGGUAGCUGGUCUGAGAGGAUGGCCAGCCACACUGGAACUGAGACACGGUCCAGACUCCUACGGGAGGCAGCAGUGGGGAAUCUUGCGCAAUGGGCGAAAGCCUGACGCAGCGACGCCGCGUGGGCGAAGAAGGCCUGG